AACGCACAUUGCGCCCGCCGGCAUUCCGGCGGGCAUGCCUGUUCGAGCGUCGUUAAAUCUUCCCCAGGUCACCCUGGUGUUGGGGCUAUUUAGGGGGGGGGGGUUCCUCCCUCCUUAAGCCCUUGAGCAGAGUGGCGGCGUGGCCGGGCUCCGAGCGAAGUAGAAAGCUAUCCCGCUCAGGAUGCCCUGGUGCGCGUCUGGCCGUGAAAAGACUUUGUCCCGGUCCCGGUGACAAAUGUAAACAGGUCGACCUCGGAUCAGGUAGGAAUACCCGCUGAACUUAA
rnacentral:misc_RNA from 1 species